CCCUUAGAUGUUCUGGGCCGCACGCGCGCUACACUGAUGCAUUCAACGAGUCUAAAACCUGGUCUGAUAGGGCUGGGUAAUCUUUUGAAUGUGCAUCGUGAUUGGGAUAGAUGAUUGCAAUUCUUCAUCUUCAACGAGGAAUGCCUAGUAAACGCAAGUCAUCAGCUUGCAUUGAUUACAUCCCUGCCCUUUGUACACACCGCCCGUCGCUCCUACCGAUUGAAUGUUCCGAUGAAUACCAUGGACUGAGAGUAUGAAUGGGUUCGCCUAUUUCUGCUUCUCGGGAAGUGGAGUAAAUCUUAACAUUUAGAGGAAGGAGAAGUCGUAACA
rnacentral:rRNA from 1 species